UACGUAGGGUGCAAGCGUUAAUCGGAAUUACUGGGCGUAAAGCGUGCGCAGGCGGUUUUGUAAGACUGUCGUGAAAUCCCCGGGCUCAACCUGGGAAUGGCGAUGGUGACUGCAAGGCUAGAGUUUGGCAGAGGGGGGUAGAAUUCCACGUGUAGUAGUGAAAUGCGUAGAUAUGUGGAGGAACACCGAUGGCGAAGGCAGCCCCCUGGGUCAAAACUGACGCUCAUGCACGAAAGCGUGGGGAGCAAACGGG
rnacentral:rRNA from 1 species